CAAGACGUAGCUUAAAUUA
rnacentral:tRNA from 2 species